UGAAGGAGGUGGAUGAUGGGGCGGAGGCUGAAGCCAUCAGCCAGCUCCAGAACGUCCUCCUGGAUCAGGCAGGGGAAACUUCUGGCCAGUCUCUGGGGAUGCUGAAGGAGGUGGAUGAUGGGGCGGAGGCUGAAGCCAUCAACCAGCUCCAGAACGUCCUCCUGGUUCAGGCAGGGGAAACAUCUGGCCAGUCUCUGGAGAUGCUGAAGGAGGUGGAUGAUGGGGCGGAGGCUGAAGCCAUCAGCCAGCUCCAGAACGUUCUCCUAGUUCAGGCAGGGGAAACUU